CUAUUGUGCGCUGCUAGUCUUACUACUGUCUGAUUUUCUUUCUCUUUCAUGUUGCAGGACAUCUUCUACUGUUAUGUGAUCCUUGGUUUCAGUCUCUUAAUGCUGAUGACUCCAGAAUUGAAUGAUCAACAAAGGUGGCAUCUGAGGCAACAGAUAUAGGAAGAUCUAUCUUUUAUCCAGAUUCUAGUUUAUCAAACACCUUUGGGUUCAAGAUACAGGACAAGCAAGCAAUGUUUUUCAGGUCUUGGAUUUAUUGGAAGAUUCCAGCUGAAUACUUCUUAAUCUUUUUU